GACGAACGCUGGCGGCGUGCUUAACACAUGCAAGUCGAACGGAAAGGCCCUGCUUUUGUGGGGUGCUCGAGUGGCGAACGGGUGAGUAACACGUGAGUAACCUGCCCUUGACUUUGGGAUAACUUCAGGAAACUGGGGCUAAUACCGGAUAGGAGCUCCUGCUGCAUGGUGGGGGUUGGAAAGUUUCGGCGGUUGGGGAUGGAUUCGCGGCUUAUCAGCUUGUUGGUGGGGUAGUGGCUUACAAAGGCUUUGACGGGUAGCCGGCCUGAGAGGGUGACCGGCGACAUUGGGACUAAGAUACGGCCCAGACGGCUACGGUAGGCAGCAGUGGGGAAUAUUGCACAAUGGGCGGAAGCCUGAUGCAGAAACGCCGCGUGCGGGAUGACGGCCUUCGGGUUGUAAACCGCUUUCUCCGGUGACGAAGCGUGAGUGACGGUAAUGGGUAAAGAAGCACCGGCUAACUACGUG
rnacentral:rRNA from 1 species